UGGGGAAUAUUGCACAAUGGGCGCAAGCCUGAUGCAGCCAUGCCGCGUGUGUGAAGAAGGCCUUCGGGUUGUAAAGCACUUUCAGCGAGGAGGAAGGUGGUGAACUUAAUACGUUCAUCAAUUGACGUUACUCGCAGAAGAAGCACCGGCUAACUCCGUGCCAGCAGCCGCGGUAAUACGGAGGGUGCAAGCGUUAAUCGGAAUUACUGGGCGUAAAGCGCACGCAGGCGGUUUGUUAAGUCAGAUGUGAAAUCCCCGGGCUCAACCUGGGAACUGCAUUUGAAACUGGCAAGCUAGAGUCUCGUAGAGGGGGGUAGAAUUCCAGGUGUAGCGGUGAAAUGCGUAGAGAUCUGGAGGAAUACCGGUGGCGAAGGCGGCCCCCCUGGACGAAGACUGACGCUCAGGUGCGAAAGCGUGGGGCAGCAAACAGGAUUAGAUACCCUGGUAGUCCACGCUGUAAACGAUGUCGAUUUGGAGGUUGUG
rnacentral:rRNA from 1 species